rnacentral:rRNA from 1 species
AGAGUUUGAUCCUGGCUCAGGAUGAACGCUGGCGGUAUGCUUAACACAUGCAAGUCGAACGAAGUCUUCGGACUUAGUGGCGGACGGGUGAGUAACGCGUGAGAAUCUGCCUUCAGGUUGGGGACAACAGUUGGAAACGGCUGCUAAUACCCAAUGUGCCGAGAGGUGAAAGCUUUAGUGCCUGAAGAUGAGCUCGCGUCCGAUUAGCUAGUUGGAGUGGUAACGGCACACCAAGGCGACGAUCGGUAGCUGGUCUGAGAGGAUGAUCAGCCACACUGGGACUGAGACACGGCCCAGACUCCUACGGGAGGAAGCAGUGGGGAAUGUUCCGCAAUGGGCGAAAGCCUGACGGAGCAAUACCGCGUGAGGGAGGAAGGCUCUUGGGUCGUAAACCUCUUUUGUCAGGGAAGAAGCUCUGACGGUACCUGACGAAUAAGCAUCGGCUAACUCCGUGCCAGCAGCCGCGGUAAUAC